rnacentral:rRNA from 2 species
GUUUGGUUAAGUUAGAAAGGGCGCACGGUGGAUGCCUUGACACUAGGAGUCGAUGAAGGACGGGACUAACGCCGAUAUGCUUCGGGGAGCUGUAAGUAAGCUUUGAUCCGAAGAUUUCCGAAUGGGGAAACCCACCAUACGUAAUGGUAUGGUAUCCUUAUCUGAAUACAUAGGGUAAGGAAGACAGACCCAGGGAACUGAAACAUCUAAGUACCUGGAGGAAGAGAAAGCAAAUGCGAUUUCCUGAGUAGCGGCGAGCGAAACGGAACAUAGCCCAAACCAAGAGGCUUGCCUCUUGGGGUUGUAGGACAUUCUAUACGGAGUUACAAAGGAACGAGGUAGACGAAGCGACCUGGAAAGGUCCGUCGUAGAGGGUAACAACCCCGUAGUCGAAACUUCGUUCUCUCUUGAAUGUAUCCUGAGUACGGCGGAACACGUGAAAUUCCGUCGGAAUCUGGGAGGACCAUCUCCCAAGGCUAAAUACUCCCUAGUGAUCGAUAGUGAACCAGUACCGUGAGGGAAAGGUGAAAAGCACCCCGGAAGGGGAGUGAAAGAGAUCCUGAAACCGUGUGCCUACAAAUAGUCAGAGCCCGUUAACGGG